GUGUUGUGUGAAAGGGGAGAAAGACAACACACUCCUUCACAAGAAUGGACGAGGCCCUUGGGCCUAAUAACAUGGACCAGCAAGGCACUGCCGUCGGCUUUGU
ensembl:snRNA Gm23226 predicted gene, 23226